AUGGCGACCGGCGCACGGGUGAGUAACGCGUAUCCAACCUGCCCUUUACUAUGGGACAGCCCGUCGAAAGGCGGAUUAAUACCGUAUGUUGUCAUGUUGAUGCAUAUUUUCAUGACCAAAGGCUUCGGCCGGUAAAGGAUGGGGAUGCGUCUGAUUAGCUUGCCGGCGGGGUAACGGCCCACCGGGGCGACGAUCAGUAGGGGUUCUGAGAGGAAGGUCCCCCACAUUGGAACUGAGACACGGCCCAAACUCCUACGGAAGGCAGCAG
rnacentral:rRNA from 1 species